AUAUUAUCUCUUGAAGGGAUUUGGGAAUUUGAUAUUAUGUCUUGGAAGCUGCACACCUUCUGCAUAUGUGCCUAGGUCUAAAAUAUGAAUUGACUAAGUAUACGAAGCUGCACACCUUCUGCAUAUGUGCCUAGGUCUAAAAUAUGAAUUGACUAAGUAUACGAAGCUGCACACCUUCUGCAUACGUGCUAGGGCUUGGAACAUAAUUUGGAUAACAUACUUUGGGACCAUAGAGUCAUACUAGCCCUGUCACUAGCAUCACAAGUAGGAACACCAAUCACAAGCAUACACAUAACAUGUUUAUUUUAAUCAUGCACAUGUUACUAAGAGGGAGGGAGUAGGGUAUAUGUUGCCAUCUGUAUUUUUCUUGAAAAUUUACAGCACAUCAAUAAUGGUUAACAACGCUGGAAAACCUGCUUCGGCAGAAAAUGAGCUUUAGUGGCAAUUCAGCCACGCUUCGGAGGGGAAAGCCUUAAGUAGAAUUUGGGUCUUCUCAGCGCAGUCAGGAU
rnacentral:lncRNA from 1 species